UACGGGGGGGGCAAGCGUUGUUCGGAAUUACUGGGCGUAAAGGGCUCGUAGGUGGCCAACUAAGUCAGACGUGAAAUCCCUCGGCUUAACCGGGGAACUGCGUCUGAUACUGGAUGGCUUGAGUUCGGGAGAGGGAUGCGGAAUUCCAGGUGUAGCGGUGAAAUGCGUAGAUAUCUGGAGGAACACCGGUGGCGAAGGCGGCAUCCUGGACCGACACUGACACUGAGGAGCGAAAGCUAGGGGAGCGAACGGG
rnacentral:rRNA from 1 species